AUGGCCAGGCUGUCUCCACCCGAGACUCAGUGAAAUUGAACUCGCUGUGAAGAUGCAGUGUACCCGCGGCAAGACGGAAAGACCCCGUGAACCUUUACUAUAGCUUGACACUGAACAUUGAGCCUUGAUGUGUAGGAUAGGUGGGAGGCUUUGAAGUGUGGACGCCAGUCUGCAUGGAGCCGACCUUGAAAUACCACCCUUUAAUGUUUGAUGUUCUAACGUGGACCCGUGAUCCGGGUUGCGGACAGUGUCUGGUGGGUAGUUUGACUGGGGCGGUCUCCUCCUAAAGAGUAACGGAGGAGCACGAAGGUUGGCUAAUCCUGGUCGGACAUCAGGAGGUUAGUGCAAUGGCAUAAGCCAGCUUGACUGCGAGCGUGACGGCGCGAGCAGGUGCGAAAGCAGGUCAUAGUGAUCCGGUGGUUCUGAAUGGAAGGGCCAUCGCUCAACGGAUAAAAGGUACUCCGGGGAUAACAGGCUGAUACCGCCCAAGAGUUCAUAUCGACGGCGGUGUUUGGCACCUCGAUGUCGGCUCAUCACAUCCUGGGGCUGAAGUAGGUCCCAAGGGUAUGGCUGUUCGCCAUUUAAAGUGGUACGCGAGCUGGGUUUAGAACGUCGUGAGACAGUUCGGUCCCUAUCUGCCGUGGGCGCUGGAGAACUGAGGGGGGCUGCUCCUAGUACGAGAGGACCGGAGUGGACGCAUCACUGGUGUUCGGGUUGUCAUGCCAAUGGCACU
rnacentral:rRNA from 1 species